GAUGAACGCUAGCGGCAGGCCUAAUACAUGCAAGUCGGACGGGAUCCAUUGAUAGCUUGCUAUCAAUGGUGAGAGUGGCGCACGGGUGCGUAACGCGUGAGCAACCUGCCUCCAUCAGGGGGAUAGCCUCUCGAAAGAGAGAUUAACACCGCAUAAUAUCAACAGUUCGCAUGUUCAGUUGAUUAAAUAUUUAUAGGAUGGAGAUGGGCUCGCGUGACAUUAGCUAGUUGGUAGGGUAACGGCUUACCAAGGCGACGAUGUCUAGGGGCUCUGAGAGGAGAAUCCCCCACACUGGUACUGAGACACGGACCAGACUCCUACGGGAGGCAGCAGUAAGGUAUAUUGGUCAAUGGGCGGAAGCCUGAACCAGCCAUGCCGCGUGCAGGAUGACUGCCCUAUGGGUUGUAAACUGCUUUUGUCCAGGAAUAAACCUAAAUACGAGUAUUUAGCUGAAUGUACUGGAAGAAUAAGGAUCGGCUAACUCCGUG
rnacentral:rRNA from 1 species